UCAAUCUGGGACUCUCUGGCUGUGUCCCAAUUCAGGGGACGCAUCCUUCGAAGGCUGCAUUCGAAGGAUGCGUCGACGCCGAUUGCGUCACAGCGACGCGCCAAGUGCUGUCCCAAUUCCAAGGGUCCUUCAAAUGCGGCCUACGAAUGCAGCCUUCUUUUCCCGGAUUUUAAGGAUGCAUCGGCUGUAUCCUUCGCGGCCCAACGUAUCCCAAGAUCCUUCACGGCCCAACGUAUCCCUCCCAAGAUUCAUUGCGCAGUCAAUCCAAAAAUAAAACAAUAAUGGCGGAGAAUGUGGAUUUGACUUUUUCAUUUAAAUGGAGCAAGGAGCAUACUGCUCAAUUGAUCAAACUCAGGGGGGAGAACGACGAGCUCUUCACCGGGGUGAAACAUUCGGCGAGUGUGGCUUGGGGGUAAGGAAACAAUCGUUUAUUUAUAUCGUAAGUUAGUUUAUAAAAAUUAUUAUAGGCCAUUUGUAUAUCUACAUUUGACCAUCUUGUAAAGGUUAGUUAAAUUAGCCCUCAUUGAAAAGCAGGACAGAUACAACAUCCACAGAAAUCGUUUACUACGAUGUCCUAUUUUGGGUUAUUAAAGAAAGACAAAAAAAGUCACAGCUCGCAUCAGUACUAGACAGCACUCGAAAAACACACAAAGAAAAAGGGUGUUUUGACUUCUACUGGUUGUCUUAUUAUUAUGGGCUUCAUAUAGGAUGAGGGCUAAUUUAAAUGUAACCUUUACAAGAUGGUCAAAUGUAUGUAUUAUAAAUGGCCUAUUGUUAACAUGGGCUAUUAACAUGAUUGAUAAAUGUGUCUCUUGUUUUCUCUGAUUAAUAAUCUCUCUGUGUUUAGGACAAUUCUGGAGAAAAUAGGCCUGCAGGGAAGGUGACUCCCCGCAGGCAAAGAAAACUUUUGCUGAAAUUUGUUUUGAUACUGCUCUUGUUGUUAACUGCCAUGAUUGAUUUCCUCUGCCUUAGGAUUGCAAGUAUCCAGGGUCAGGAGAGGGGGAGGUGGAAACCCACUGCUGCCACUUGGCCCUGGUUUGUCCCCAUGGAUAAGGUAUUGGAUUGGGACAGAGGCAUUCCACCAACCCCCCUGUCCUAAUUGCCUCCAUCCCUGAGAACACACCAGGGCCAAGUACAGCAGUGGUGGAUCAGGAGGUGGAGGACAAGGAUCAGGAGGAGGAAAGACAGCGAGGGCCAAGGUCCAGAAAGAGGGACAGAGAGGAAGACAUGUUCCAGAGUCGCUCACUAUCUUCCGAAAAGGACUCAAGAUUCACCUGUUCAGAGUCCACCUCGACUGCAUAGCCACCCUCCCCCUUCUGGCCACCAUUGUACACUGUGUUGUAUUGUAUUAUAGUACUUAACUGUGUAGCAACUGCAGUAGCUGCUAUCAUGGCUGUAACACGGGGAAUGGGUUAGCCUAGCGAUUGUGGUACUUGCACUUGGUUCUAUGAACAUCCUUUCUGUACCGACAGCGAUAUAUUGAUGCACUUCUUGUGACAAAUGUACUUAUUGUAAGUCGCUUUGGAUAAAAGCGUCUGCUAAAUGCCCUAAAUGUAAAUGUAAGAUGUAAAUGUUCCAGUUAAUAAAAGAGGACAUGAGGCUACAAAGGGGGGAGGCAGAGGAGAGGAAAGCCCAGGAAAGCAGGGAAAGAAUGGAUAGGUUUUUCUCAAUUUUGGAGCGUUUGGUGGACAAAUAACUUAUGGUCUGUUAUAUUUAACGCAUUGUUUAUUAUUUACAUAUUUAUUGAAACUAACUUAUUUAACUAACUAUUUAACUAACUUUUUUGAUUAACUAUUUAUUAAAACCCUUACUAACUUUUUUGUAUUGACUAAUGUAUUCGUAUGAAACAUAUAUACAACAAUAAAACUAUUUGCAACAAACAUUCAUG
ensembl:lncRNA